GAGUCUUGCUCUGUCACCCAGGCUGGAGUACAGUGGUGCAAUCUCGGCUCACUGCAAGCUCCGCCUCCUGGGUUCACACCAUUCUCCUGCCUCAGCCUCCCAAGUAGCUGGGACUACAGGUAUCCUCCACCACGCCCGGCUAAUUUUUGUAUUUUUAGUAGAGACGGGGUUUCACCGUGUUAGCCAGGAUGGUCUCGAUCUCCUGACCUCGUGAUCUGCCCCCACGGCCUCCCGAAGUGCUGGGAUUACAGGCGUGAGCCACCGCGCCCGGCCAAGCCACUAAAAUUUUCUUUCCAGGGGGAUGUGACUUUAAAAACUAGGGAAAUGAAUAGAAUCUUAUCUGCUGGGAAUCUUGCUUCAACAAGAUCUCUUAGACUUGCUUUGGCCUCAUUACAACUCUACAAAAAAAGGAAUUUUUUUUAAACCUCAAAUAAUUGAGGUAAUUAAUUUCUUUCUUCAAUUCAUGGCACACUCUUUACAUUAUUCUUGCAAAGCCCCUCUGUGUUACUUUUUUUGUUUUAUUCUUCAGUUCAUCUCCACUUUCCCCUAUAUACAACCACUUAAAAUAUGCCUUUCCAGUCGACUACUUAUGUAUUUAUUUAGCAAUAUGUUUCUUUAUAUAAUAUGAAAAAUACGUAUGUACACACAGUGGUUUUUAGACAUAUCAGUUGUAUUAUGCUAUAAAUCUUAUUGUUUUUAAAUUCUGUUUCUGUUUCUUUUGAGUUGAAAAAAUGUGUAACUCUAGUUCAUUGGUUUUGAUUGCUAUAAGGUAUUCCAUCAGAGGCAUACACAACAUUUUACUUACAAAUUCCUCUAGAAAUGAAAACCUAGGUUGCCUGCAACUCAUUGUCACUGCAAAUAAUACUUCAGUGAUUUUUUUAAUACAUGGACUUGUGUAUGGAAUCCAGUUUCCAAGGUAUCCCCAAGUGACCCUUGUCUUCUAGUAUUCAUGCCCAUGUAUAAUCCCUUUCCACAUUGUGUCGGGGUUAAUCUUUGUGACCAACCUAAUAUGGCAUAGUGAUAGCUUUGUGAAUUCCCAGACUAAGUCAUAAAAUAACACUGCUGCUUCCGCCUUGUUCUCUUGGAUUACUUGUUCUCGGCAAAACCAGCCAUUAUGUUAUGAGGAUGCUUUAGCAGCCCAGCCCUAUGGAGCAGCCAAUAGCUACCACCAGCUUACCAGCCCUGUGCCUGAGGCAUCUUAGAAGUGGAUCCUUUAGCCCAAGUUAAACAUUCAGAUGACCGGAGCCCCAGCCAACAUCUCGACUGAAACUUCAUAAGCAACCCUGAGCCAGAACUAUCCAGCUAAGCCACUCCUGAUUUCUUGACCCACAAAAACUAUGAGAUAAUA
rnacentral:lncRNA from 10 species